GCUGGUUUGGCUCAGUGGAUAGAGCAUUGGCCUGAGGACUGAAGGGUCCCAGGUUCGAUUCCUGGAGGCAGUC
rfam:Myotis davidii contig63801, whole genome shotgun sequence.